GAUGAACGCUGGCGGCGUGCCUAAUACAUGCAAGUCGAGCGAACGGACGAGAAGCUUGCUUCUCUGAUGUUAGCGGCGGACGGGUGAGUAACACGUGGAUAACCUACCUAUAAGACUGGGAUAACUUCGGGAAACCGGAGCUAAUACCGGAUAAUAUUUUGAACCGCAUGGUUCAAAAGUGAAAGACGGUCUUGCUGUCACUUAUAGAUGGAUCCGCGCUGCAUUAGCUAGUUGGUAAGGUAACGGCUUACCAAGGCAACGAUGCAUAGCCGACCUGAGAGGGUGAUCGGCCACACUGGAACUGAGACACGGUCCAGACUCCUACGGGAGGCAUCAGUAGGGAAUCUUCCGCAAUGGGCGAAAGCCUGACGGAGCAACGCCGCGUGAGUGAUGAAGGUCUUCGGAUCGUAAAACUCUGUUAUUAGGGAAGAACAUAUGUGUAAGUAACUGUGCACAUCUUGACGGUACCUAAUCAGAAAGCCACGGCUAACUACGUG
rnacentral:rRNA from 1 species